UCUAAUCCAUGCCUAUUUUAGCAACAUUAGGUGCAUUUUAGUAGGUUUUUAGCAAUAAAUAUAAGAGAAAUCUAACCAUAAGCUUGAUUACUUGUUUUGCAAGAAAACAGGAAAAAUUGCAGGAAAUGGAGGAUUUUCACUACGCUGGGGGCGUAGCCCAUCACGCGCCGCGUGAUGGAGCUCACAGGGAGCCAAGAUUUUCACUCUGAUCACGCGCGGCGUGAUGCCUGACCACGCGCGGCGUGAUGACUUGUUCAAGAAGAAGAUUGCUCUCUGACUUGAUCACGCGCCGCGUGAUACCGUUAUCACGCGCGGCGUAGUUGAUGGAUCUGCAACCACGCGCGGCGUGAUAGAUCUGGCGCGCGGCGUGGUUGCAUUCUGUAUAUAUAGUUUCUGCAUAAUUCUGUUUUCGGGUUGGAAAAUUCUGCAAUUUUGAUCUACAUUCUGGGUUUGGAAACUUCAAGAUUGGGA
rnacentral:lncRNA from 1 species